AAAUCAAGGGGCAUUUUCUGGGCAUCUGAGUCCUCUUAGGGGGCUGAGUGUUAUGGGGUCACUGUGCCAAAGACACUGGCUUGGGGAAUACCUGGUCAUGAUGCCUACCUGGCUGCUUUAUCCUUUGUGUACCACCCUCAUUCCAGGCAUGUGAAAAGACACAGAGUUGAGUGCAGGAAAAGCAAAAUCACAGAUGGAGGCACCUCAGGAGCUCAUGAGCCUUUGAGGUCCUGUUUCAGCUCAGACAAUGUUUCCAGGGACUCGUACUGAGCUGAGCCCUGCAGCCUGGAGCAGAGGAUAAAGCAGCAAGUGUGAUCCCAGGGGAAUGCAAAUCUUUCCUGGGCACCCCAAGCGCCUUCAUAAAUAACUUUGCUCCCACCCUGUAUGUUACUGCAGCACCUGUACAGAUUAUAUAUAUUCCUUCUUUUCAGUCUUUUCCUUGCUGCUAUCUCCCGUGACACGUUGUCUGGUUUGUUCUUUGUAUAUCUAGUAUGAAAUCGAAUAAAUGUCCUAUAAGUUA